rnacentral:rRNA from 1 species
UACGUAGGGUGCAAGCGUUGUCCGGAAUUAUUGGGCGUAAAGAGCUCGUAGGCGGCUUGUCGCGUCGGCUGUGAAAACCUGGGGCUCAACCCCGGGCCUGCAGUGGGUACGGGCAGACUAGAGUGCGGUAGGGGAGACUGGAAUUCCUGGUGUAGCGGUGAAAUGCGCAGAUAUCAGGAGGAACACCGGUGGCGAAGGCGGGUCUCUGGGCCGUAACUGACGCUGAGGAGCGAAAGCAUGGGGAGCGAACAGG